UUAGCCUCUCCAGAUCGAGCCGAUUCCCUUAGAGCGAAGCACUGUUGGCCGGCCAGUUUAGCCUCUCGGACUGGUUCCUGUCGCAUCCAGCCUCAGGAUCUGUAAACAGAGGAAAUUCUGCUGACAUUUUUAGUUCUGCAGGAUGUUGAUAUUGAUGAGGAGGUUGAUGUUAUAAUUUCAGAGUGGAUGGGAUACAUGCUUCUGUAUGAGAGGUUGGAAGUGUCAUUACAGCGAGAGAUCGCUAGCUAAAACCUGGAGGUGUUAUACUUCCUUCAAAUGCAAUGUUGUACAUAGCACCUAUCACACAUGUUGAUAGAUAAAGUGAAAGCAUUGAUUUCUGGCAGAAUGUUUAUGGAAUUGAUAGUUUCAUAGCUAUGCAUGCCACACUUGCCAGUCGCAAUGUGGACUGUUGUUUGAUUCCAGAUUCCCCCUUAUUUCUUGAAGGACGAGGUGGACUUUUUGAGUUCAUUGAAGAACGACUCAGAAAAUGGACAUAUGGUUAUUGUGAUUGCUGAGGGAGCAGGACAGGAUCUUCUUUCAGAGAGCUUGUAAUCCAUGAACCAGCAAGAUGCUUCAGGAAACAAGCUACUAAAAGACGUUGGGUUAUGGAUAUCUCAGAGGAUCAAGGUGUUACUCGCAAUCUGUAGAAUUAGUGCUUGGGAGCUUCCAAAGCUAGACUCCAAUGAGGCCAUGAGAGCAGCAAAGCUAGACUCCCUAAGUAAAUUUCUGGAUGUAUAUUGCUAGGAGAGUAGUAUUAGAUGUACUCCUUUUGUAGAUGAAAGAUUACCUUUGCACAAUUUAUUUUGGUGCAUGAUGUGGAUUAUAACAAUUUCUUCUAUAUAUUGAUCAGCUACUGUUAAUUGGAUCA